rnacentral:lncRNA from 1 species
UAGAAAGCACACAAGAAUUUGCACUUCCAACCUAAUAAGUAUCAACAGAUAUUGAAGAAAUAUAGAUAUGCACCAAUAUUGACCACUCCUUUCAUGAACUUGAUCGCUUGUCAUGUUAUCCAUCCUUCAACAGUACAUCUGAUGACUCACUUUCACUUGAUAAAUUGCACAUCCUUUGUCUAGAAUAAAGGGCAGCCCCCAAUACAAGUAAUUCACUCAAGUGAAGAAUUGAAUACAAAAUUGACAUCACAUUGUUUACAGAUGUUAAAAACAUAAGAAACGGUCAGCAUAUCCACAUUGUAUAGUGCUCAGGCGCAAACAGUCCUAAAGGGAGUAUCAUUUAAUUUUUCAAAGGACAAAAAAAAACUGGACACCAUUUUACUGUACUGAACUACAACUAAAUGCAAAACAUUUCACUGCACCAUGGGAAAAGAUGGGACAUGCACGGCAUCUGAUGCACUAUAGUCCAGGGAUAUAAAAAGUAGCUGAUUCAAUAUUUAUUGACCCAGAAUGUGCCUGACUGAAAUUGUACAAUGUAUGUUAAUCAACUAGAUGGCAACUAUAGAAAGGGAAAUGUGGCUAAGAUGCAACCUUGAUGCCUGCCAUCAGUUCAUUAGUACCAACCACAUCACGAAGAGCAAGCCAUCUGGAAAAAAUCCAAUUCCCCUCACAAAAAUCCGAGUUCACCUUCCAUCUUAUGCAUAAAUAGCCAAUGGCUCCAACAACAAUAGCAGUUAAACAGUAGCCUACAUAGUCUGCAAGACAAUAAUUUUGCUUCAGUCGUUAUGUAAGAAAACAAACAAGUGUUUGCUGAACUUAGCUAAAUGAAAUACAAAAUAUAGAUUACAGGCAAACCUGCACACAUCUGCUAAGCUACAGGGCCUGCAAGAGAAUGAUUUUGCUUCAGCGUGCCUUUGUGCGCCUCCUGGGUGGUCAGGUGCGCCCUUUUGCGUGAAAAGCAGACCUAAGUCCUGCAACGCAUGUAUACAAAAACAAGGUAUUCACACAAACAAUGGGGGUAAGUAGCACACAAUCCUAGAUGGCGCACAUAGUAACUGCAUGCAAAUACUAUAUUACUCCCUCCAUCCCAUAAUGUAAGACGUUUUUUGACACAUAAUGUAAGACGUUUUUUGACACAUUAUGGGUGUCAAAAAACGUCUUACAUUAUGGGACAUAGGGAGUACAUGGUAGCAUACUUUCUUAGCAAAUCUAAGAAGGGAGUUUCUGCCAUUCACAAAAUGUCAUAAAGGUUAAUGCUUCAAGGCAUGUAUUACAUGGCAUCAGAUAGUGCCUGAUCCAGCCACAAUGCAAAUACAGUGCUAUAAAGUAGCAAAUAAUCUUAGGAAACGUAACACAGGAAGUUUUGGAUGCUCUAGAAACAUCAAAGGGGUUGGUGUCCUUGGGCAUAUAUUACGACAGGAAGGAUCUCACUUCCGGUCCAUGGAGCAGAAGGCCCAAUGCACGGAUGCAGGGUAGGCAUCAUCAUGACAUCAUCCUAGUAGUUAACUGGUCAAUAAGAGCUCUGGUGCAAAGCAAAACUGCAUUCAGAAGACCAUCGAAAAACAAGAAGCAACACAGAACACACUGCAAAGAGGGAACCACAUGACAAACUACUAGACCAUACUGUGGCACCCGGUCCACUUCCCUUUCCUGGCAGUCAGUGCUUUCUUAGUACGGAAAGCUUGAAUAAUCGCAGCAUGAGCUGGGCGGCUCCUCCAUCAGUGUCUUGCUAUUUAUGACCAGAGGCAAUUAGACACAAUUCAGAAGGAAGAAGGAUGCUCACCGGCGUCCACAAUAAUGCUCUCUCUUGAGCUGCGGAAAAGGAACAUCUUUUUGAAGAUGAUGUGGGGUAAAAUAUACAGAUAUGACAUAUUAUUUCAAUUCAGACAAAAGACUUACAAGCAUUACUUGGACAAGGAAUGAAACAACAUCAAAGAAAAUCAGAGAGGGUCAUGACGCAGAUAAGCUGUAAUGUUCAUUCCUUGCCGCAGUUUAAAUAACCUGAUAGGACUAAUAAAUCGUUUUAAUGGCUGUGACCAACAACUAUUACCAUACUAAGCCAAGACUAAUUUUUAAUACUCCCUCCAUCCCAUAAUAUAAGAUGUUACUACAACCAAUAUGUGAGUACAUUGGUUGUAAUAACGUCUUAUAUUAUGGGACGGAGGGAGUAGCAUUUAACCUUGCCCAAAAUUGCAGAUUUGAUUGUUACUAUAUUUGGUACGAUCUAGAUGACAUGAAAACAACUAUAUUAGUACAGAAACAUGUAUACAAUCGCGGUGAUAUUUUUGAUGAAUGGAUAAUAUUUUCAGGCAUUCACUAGGUACUAAUAUGCAGCGGGUAUGUUGAGUUACGAACUUCAAUAUGAUGUGGUUAACAAAUAGCACACAUAUGCUCGUUAAGAUUAACAGUUUCAUGCAUGAAAAUUUGUGGCUUACACAUAAACCAUUCUAAAAAUCAUACGAUCAGAGUUCCUCGGUUGAUUUGCUCCCCUGAACUCAACAGAGCAACCAUGGUCACUGACUCACCAUCUUCGUGUCUACCUGUUUGCAAGGAGACCAUUCACUAUGAUUAAUGAUGGAAAUUAAGCAAACAAUCCAGAAUUUUUUAGGAACUCAGUGACAUCAGAUUCAUGGACAAGUAGACCAGAAAUUAUACUAACCUGCAUAUGCUGCACUCUCCUGAGCCAAAUCUUGGAU